GACGAACGCUGGCGGCGUGCCUAAUACAUGCAAGUAGAACGCUGAAGAGAGGAGCUUGCUCUUCUUGGAUGAGUUGCGAACGGGUGAGUAACGCGUAGGUAACCCGCCUUGUAGCGGGGGAUAACUAUUGGAAACGAUAGCUAAUACCGCAUAACAAUGGAUGACCCAUGUCAUUUAUUUGAAAGGGGCAAAUGCUCCACUACAAGAUGGACCUGCGUUGUAUUAGCUAGUAGGUGAGGUAACGGCUCACCUAGGCGACGAUACAUAGCCGACCUGAGAGGGUGAUCGGCCACACUGGGACUGAGACACGGCCCAGACUCCUACGGGAGGCAGCAGUAGGGAAUCUUCGGCAAUGGGGGCAACCCUGACCGAGCAACGCCGCGUGAGUGAAGAAGGUUUUCGGAUCGUAAAGCUCUGUUGUAAGUCAAGAACGAGUGUGAGAGUGGAAAGUUCACACUGUGACGGUAGCUUACCUGAAAGGGACGGCUAACUACGUGCCAGCAGCCGCGGUAAUACGUAGGUCCCGAGCGUUGUCCGGAUUUAUUGGGCGUAAAGCGAGCGCAGGCGGUUUGAUAAGUCUGAAGUUAAAGGCUGUGGCUCAACCAUAGUUCGCUUUGGAAACUGUCAAACUUGAGUGCAGAAGGGGAGAGUGGAAUUCCAUGUGUAGCGGUGAAAUGCGUAGAUAUAUGGAGGGACACCGGUGGCGAAAGCGGCUCUCUGGUCUGUAACUGACGCUGAGGCUCGAAAGCGUGGGGAGCGAACAGGAUUAGAUACCCUGGUAGUCCACGCCGUAAACGAUGAGUGCUAGGUGUUGGAUCCUUUCCGGGAUUCAGUGCCGCAGCUAACGCAUUAAGCACUCCGCCUGGGGAGUACGACCGCAAGGUUGAAACUCAAAGGAAUUGACGGGGGCCCGCACAAGCGGUGGAGCAUGUGGUUUAAUUCGAAGCAACGCGAAGAACCUUACCAGGUCUUGACAUCCCGAUGCUAUUUCUAGAGAUAGAAAGUUACUUCGGUACAUCGGUGACAGGUGGUGCAUGGUUGUCGUCAGCUCGUGUCGUGAGAUGUUGGGUUAAGUCCCGCAACGAGCGCAACCCCUAUUGUUAGUUGCCAUCAUUCAGUUGGGCACUCUAGCGAGACUGCCGGUAAUAAACCGGAGGAAGGUGGGGAUGACGUCAAAUCAUCAUGCCCCUUAUGACCUGGGCUACACACGUGCUACAAUGGUUGGUACAACGAGUUGCGAGUCGGUGACGGCAAGCUAAUCUCUUAAAGCCAAUCUCAGUUCGGAUUGUAGGCUGCGACUCGCCUACAUGAAGUCGGAAUCGCUAGUAAUCGCGGAUCAGCACGCCGCGGUGAAUACGUUCCCGGGCCU
rnacentral:rRNA from 1 species